UACGAAGGGGGCUAGCGUUGCUCGGAAUCACUGGGCGUAAAGGGUGCGUAGGCGGUACCGAAAGUUAGGUGUGAAAGUUCGAGGCUCAACCUCGAAAUUGCACCUAAUACUCCGGUGCUUGAGUCUCAUAGAGGAAUCUGGAAUUCACGGUGUAGCAGUGAAAUGCGUAGAUAUCGUGAAGAAGGCCUGUGGCGAAAGCAAGAUUCUGGGUGACGACUGACGCUGAGGCACGAAAGCCAGGGGAGCAAACGGG
rnacentral:rRNA from 1 species